rnacentral:rRNA from 1 species
UAAUACGGAGGGUGCAAGCGUUGUUCGGAAUCAUUGGGCUUAAAGAGCUCGUAGGCGGAUAGUUAAGCAUCUUGUGAAAUCCCUUGGCUUAACCAAGGAACUGCUCGAUGUACUGGCUAUCUUGAGGCAAGUAGAGGUACGUGGAACUCCAGGUGGAGCGGUGAAAUGCGUAGAUAUCUGGAGGAACGCCAGUGGUGAAAACGGCAUACUGGGCUUGUUCUGACGCUGAGGAGCGAAAGCAUGGGUAGCGAACGGGAUUAGAUACCCCGGUAGUCCAUGCCGUAAACGAUGCCUACUAGGUUGUGGGCGGUCUGACCUUUCCACAGCCGUAGCAAAAGUAUUAAGUAGGCCGCCUGGGGAGUACGGUCGCAAGGCUA